GACGAACGCUGGCGGCGUGCCUAAUACAUGCAGGUUGAGCGCUGAAGGUUGGUACUUGUACCAACUGGAUGAGCAGCGAACGGGUGAGUAACGCGUGGGGAAUCUGCCUUUGAGCGGGGGACAACAUUUGGAAACGAAUGCUAAUACCGCAUAAAAACUUUAAACACAAGUUUUAAGUUUGAAAGAUGCAAUUGCCUCACUCAAAGAUGAUCCCGCGUUGUAUUAGCUAGUUGGUGAGGUAAAGGCUCACCAAGGCGAUGAUACAUAGCCGACCUGAGAGGGUGAGCGGCCACAUUGGGACUGAGACACGGCCCAAACUACUACGGGAGGCAGCAGUAGGGAAUCUUCGGCAAUGGACGAAAGUCUGACCGAGCAACGCCGCGUGAGUGAAGAAGGUUUUCGGAUCGUAAAACUCUGUUGGUAGAGAAGAACGUUGGUGAGAGUGGAAAGCUCAUCAAGUGACGGUAACUAACCAGAAAGGGACGGCUAACUACGUG
rnacentral:rRNA from 1 species